UACGUAGGGUGCAAGCGUUGUCCGGAAUUAUUGGGCGUAAAGAGCUCGUAGGCGGUCUGUCGCGUCUGCUGUGAAAAUCAGGGCUCAACCCUGGACCUGCAGUGGGUACGGGCAGACUAGAGUGCGGUAGGGGAGAUCGGAAUCCUGGUGUGAGCGGUGAAAUGCGCAGAUAUCAGGAGGAACACCGGUGGCGAAGGCGGAUCUCUGGGCCGUAAGCGACGCU
rnacentral:rRNA from 1 species